GAACAAGACGCUCGGUUCCAUAUUUUACAGUCUAUGGUUCCAACGCACAGUUCACCUGAUGAGGGUCCAUAUUGAAGCAAACAGUAAAGAAUGCCUUGGCUGCAGAGUUGAUGUAGGACCAUUUGUACUGCAGCGAUGACACAGUAAAACAGUGGGCUAUUGAUGUCAAGCAGUAGGCAAGUAGUGGAAAUGCUGCAGCCGGUCCUGUUGCUGCUCGUGGCUUGCAGCCGUCCAUCGAAUCACUCUUUGAGAGCAUUUGUCAGAAGAAAACACUAGCAUUUAAAGGUAGAAUAUCGGAACAAAAGGGGUCAGAUGAUUAGUCAAAAGACUGCCCAAGAACAGAAACGCUUGCUUGAAGAGAUCCAGAGAUACAACCGACAACCUAAUGGUGACCAUGUGGACACAGAAACUACAGUAACUGUCCAACAAAGCAGAAGAGAACAGGAUUUAACCUUGACGGGAACAGAACACAGGUUAUCCGAACGCAUUCACAGAGGAUGGGUCCAAGGGCCUCUUUGUGUACUGAAGAAAAGACUGCAGGAGCUCAGACUGAAACAGCAGCAGACUGUAGCGUGCACAUACAGAGGGAUUCUGGACUCAACUCCUAUCCUGAUGGAAGAAGACGAAAGGGAAAUGGACUUGGAUCAUGACAUUAGCUCUGAGGAUGAAGAUGAGGAUGAGUAUGAUACAGCGGUGGGAUCGCUUUGGUUUCUAGACUUCAGAAACAUCUCUUUAAAUGUAUAUAUUUGAUUUAGUUUGAAAGUUGAGUUUUUUUAAAGACCAUUAAAGCUAAAGGAGAUGAUUAAAUUCACUGACGUUAACACUCGGGCUGCACGAUAUUGGAAAAAUCCGACAUUGCGAGAGUUUUUCUGUGAUAUUUGUUGCUAUAUGAUUAAUUAUUUCACUAGAUGAAUUGAAUAGCUCAGUUUGGAAAUAACUCCUUAUUUAAUAUCAGUUGGGAUGAUUUUGUAGGCCAGAUAAUCUGCACAAAUGAAAUGUAAUUAAUUUAACUCUUUUGGUGAGUCUAACUGUAUUUGAGAAUAAAGUGAAUAAUCAAACAUAAGCAAAUGAUCUUCACUGUAGAAAAGUUAAAUGCAAAUGCAAUUUUAUUGCUAUAAUUUCUUGUACACAAAUGAUUUAAAUGCACUUGAAAUCUAACAGUCAUAGGCCUUAAACAAAGCAAACAAGCACUCGUUCACCCUAUUAAGGUCAAACUUCACAAUCACUCAACAAUAUGGUUCCUGAUCAGCUAUAGAUCCACUCAGAUUUCCUGAAGGAUAAAUAAACUGAAGCUGAACUUGACAUUGCAGAUCCUGUGACGUGACUACUGUGAAUGAUCACAUUGUGAUAUGGAUGCUGAGACGAGAUAUAUUGUGCAGCCCUAGUUAAAACUGAUAACAGAAAUAUGCAGUUCUUUACCUUUGUAACAACAUGCUGAUUUACACUGCUGUAUUAUCAGGAACAAUAUGUUUGUAUUGUUUCUGCUCUGCAAAACUUUUGGAUCUCAAAUGUCUGUAAAUUCUUGCUAAAGCUGUAGAUAUGAAAUACACAUUUAAUUAGUCAUUAACUAACUAAUGAUUGACUUCUGUUAAUCAAAAUCCAGGCCUUGACAAAAGAAUGAACUGGACACUUUAAGAUUUAACUCGAACUACUAACAUGUUACUGCUAGUUAUCUCAUACUACCUCCCUGUAUACUAUUAAGACACUGUCACUUUAUCAUCAUUAUCAUGUUUACAAGCUUUUUGCUCUACCGUAUAUACUGUUUUGCACUAUACUUUUGCAUUAUAUACCGUUUUGCAUCUGCACAACUCUAGUUUGCACUGCUUGCCGCCCUUAAGUGUAAUUGUAUUGUUUAUAUAUUUUUUUUAUUUUACUUGUAUUUUUAGAUUAUACGUGUAAUUGUAUUUACUGUAAUUUCUUUUCAAAACUCUACUUUUUGUAUUAAUGUUAUAUGUUCGGGUCUGAGGGUUUUGAUUCUCUGUAUGUCCUGUACAUGUGGUUGAAUUGACAAUAAAGCUGACUUUGAUUUUGA